AGCAUUGGUACUGAUAUAUCCCUUUCCUUUUCUUUCAUAGUCUAGCAUACCCAGUAAGCAUUCCAGAAGGAUUUGAGAGUCAUCCCUUCCUAAAAUGAAGCUGCAGGCUUUGGGGAUUUGGAAAAUUGCG
rnacentral:sRNA from 1 species